rnacentral:rRNA from 1 species
UCAAACCGGCGUGAGCCAGGUUGGUUUCUAUCCUUAAUUAGUUAAAAUAUUUUAGUACGAAAGGAUUAAAUAUUUAAAAUAAUUUUUUUUAAAAGAAUAAAAUUAAU